GGGUGGUAGCGGUUGGUAAC
rnacentral:siRNA from 1 species